UACGUAGGGUGCAAGCGUUGUCCGGAAUUAUUGGGCGUAAAGAGCUCGUAGGCGGUCUGUCGCGUCGGAUGUGAAAACUCGGGGCUCAACCCCGAGCCUGCAUUCGAUACGGGCAGGCUAGAGUUCGGUAGGGGAGACUGGAAUUCCUGGUGUAGCGGUGAAAUGCGCAGAUAUCAGGAGGAACACCGGUGGCGAAGGCGGGUCUCUGGGCCGAUACUGACGCUGAGGAGCGAAAGCGUGGGGAGCGAACAGG
rnacentral:rRNA from 1 species